AGGAAACUAAAUCAUUUUUCCACCUUAGUACGGGAGACGGAAAAGGUAAUUUUAAGCAAUAGAGAAAGUACCGCAAGGGAAAGCUGAAAGAGUAAUGAAAUAAUUCAUAUAAGCACAAAAAAGCAGAGCCUAACCCUCGUACCUUUUGCAUCAUGAUUUAGCCAGCACCACACAAGCGAAGUGACCUUUAGUUUGAAAUCCCGAAACCAAGUGAGCUACCCCGGGACAGCCUGUUUGGGCGAACCCGUCUCUGUGGCAAAAGAGUGGGAAGAGCCCCGGGUAGAGGUGAUAAACCUACCGAACUUGGUGAUAGCUGGUUGCCUAAGAAAUGAAUAGAAGUUCAGCCUCGUACCCCUUUAGCCAACCAGGAAAUAUCUAAGUAAGCAUAGAAGAGAAAUACGAGAGUUAGUUAAAGGGGGUACAGCCCCUUUAAUAAAGGACACAACCUUAAAUAGGAGGAUAAGAGUCACAUUUUAUAAAACUAGUCGUUCCAGUGGGCCUAAAAGCAGCCACCUGAAUAGAAAGCGUUAAAGCUCAAACGACAUGCAGUUUAUUAUACUGAUAAGUAGCCCAAUUCCCCUAAAAAUAUUAGGCCGUUCCAUGCUACCAUGGAAGAGACCAUGCUAGAAUGAGUAAUAAGAGGGUACAACCCUCUCCUAGCACAAGUGUAAGCCAGAUCGGACAAGCCACUGGAAAUUAACGAACCCAUAAAAAGAGGGCAAUGUGUUUACUAAAGAAUUCAAGAAAAUAACACAACAUUUACAUCGUUAAACCCACACUGGAGUGCAUCAAGGAAAGACUAAAAGAAAGGGAAGGAACUCGGCAAACACAAGCCUCGCCUGUUUACCAAAAACAUCGCCUCCUGCAAACCCCUACGUAUAGGAGGUCCAGCCUGCCCGGUGACUACAAGUUUAACGGCCGCGGUAUUUUGACCGUGCAAAGGUAGCGCAAUCACUUGUCUUUUAAAUGAAGACCUGUAUGAAUGGCUAAACGAGGGCUUAACUGUCUCCCUUUUCAGG
rnacentral:rRNA from 1 species